UACGAAGGGUGCUAGCGUUGUUCGGAAUUACUGGGCGUAAAGCGCGCGUAGGCGGCUUUGUAAGUCGGGUGUGAAAGCCUGUGGCUCAACCACAGAAUUGCCUUCGAUACUGCAUGGCUUGAGACCGGAAGAGGUAAGUGGAACUGCGAGUGUAGAGGUGAAAUUCGUAGAUAUUCGCAAGAACACCAGUGGCGAAGGCGGCUUACUGGUCCGGUUCUGACGCUGAGGCGCGAAAGCGUGGGGAGCAAACAGG
rnacentral:rRNA from 1 species